AUGAAUAUCCAGUAAAGUAUUUCUUAAUUUCUACGGACAAUGAUGAGUACUAACGAGAACAGAGUGAUAUGUUUUCAGAAGGUUAAAAUAACUUUGAUUUUCGUGAUAAUUUAUUGUAUCAAAUCAGAGCUAUAUUACAUGUUUGCAGUACAACCAAUAAAAGUAACACCUAAGCAUAGGCAUUUAACUGUAAAAUCUGUUUUCUCUAUUCAAAACCAGAUGUGAUCUACAUUUCUCCACAGUCCUCUCAACACAGAUGUAUACUACUCAGUUGACCUGGUUUCCUGUGAAGUGUGCUGCUGAGCCACCUGAGGAAGAUCAGAGCUGGAGUACAGUCACAUUAUUCAGAUCCUGCAAGAGUCGCCAUUAAUCUGCUCCAAAACCGGGCAGAUUCAGGAGUCCUCCACCUCAUCGCAGGGGUAGAAACCUGGGAAGGGGGUGAAGGGGUUGACCCUGGGGCGGCAUGAGCCUGAAAACGUCCCCAUGAGGCUUGAGAUGCUGCGCAGGGCUGAGAUGGUGUGUGGCGUCAGAGAGG